rnacentral:rRNA from 1 species
UACAGAGGUCUCAAGCGUUGUUCGGAUUCAUUGGGCGUAAAGGGUGCGUAGGCGGCGCGGUAAGUCGGGUGUGAAAUCUCGGAGCUUAACUCCGAAACUGCAUUCGAUACUGCCGUGCUCGAGGACUGGAGAGGAGACUGGAAUUCAUGGUGUAGCAGUGAAAUGCGUAGAGAUCAUGAGGAAGACCAGUGGCGAAGGCGGGUCUCUGGACAGUUCCUGACACUGAGACACGAAGGCCAGGGGAGCAAACGGG